GUUAGGAAUAUUGGACAAUGGGCGCAAGCCUGAUCCAGCCAUGCCGCGUGAGUGAUGAAGGCCUUCGGGUUGUAAAGCUCUUUAGUCCACGAAUAUAAUGACUGUAGUGGAAGAAUAAGCCCCGGCUAACUUCGUGCCAGCAGCCGCGGUAAUACGAAGGGGGCGAGCGUUAUUCGGAAUCACUGGGCGUAAAGCGUGCGUAGGCUGUUUUGUAAGUCAGAAGUGAAAGCCCAGGGCUUAACCCUGGAAUUGCUUUUGAAACUACAAGACUCGAAUUCGGGAGAGGAUAGCGGAAUUUCCAGUGUAGCAGUGAAAUGCGUAGAUAUUGGAAGGAACACCAGUGGCGUAAGCGGCUAUCUGGACGAGUAUUGACGCUGAGGCACGAAAGCGUGGGGAUCAAACAGGAUUAGAAACCCCGGUAGUCC
rnacentral:rRNA from 1 species